CCUACGGGUGGCAGCAGUGGGGGAUAUUGCACAAUGGGGGGAACCCUGAUGCAGCGACGCCGCGUGGGUGAAGGAGGGCUUCGGCAUGUAAAGCCCUAUCGGCAGGGAAGAAGCAAGACGGUACCUGACUAAGAAGCCCCGGCGAACUACGUGCCAGCAGCCGCGGUAAUAAGUAGGGGGCGAGCGUUAACCGGAUUCACGGGGUGUAAAGGGAGCGUAGACGGCCAUGCAAGCCAGGGGUGAAAGCCCGGGGCCCAACCCCGGGAAUGACCUUGAAACUGUGCGGCUAGAGUGCGCGAGGGGCAGGCGGAAUUCCUGUUGUAGCGGUGAAAUGCGUAGAUAUCAGGAGGAACACCGGCGGCGAAGGCGGCCUGCUGGACUGCGACUGACGUUGAGGCUCGAAAGCGUGGGGAGCGAACAGGAUUAGAUACCCUGGUAGUC
rnacentral:rRNA from 1 species